rnacentral:misc_RNA from 1 species
AAAAAAAAAAAAAAUGCCUCUUCCUGAUUUCACUUCUGCCUUUCCAUUAUUGAACUUAAUUAAGAAAAUGAAAGUACGCACAUAGUCUUUCACAAGAUACCAGCAAGCAUGAUUACAAGGAGUGUAAAACCUUGCAAGCUUGCAUCCUAAAACUUCUCUUAUGAAGUUUACACAUUACAGAUGUGGCAUAUGAGUUUAGUUUUCCUCAAAUUCCUCUUUACUUUUCUUUUUUCUUUUUAAUCAGAAGAGGUGAAGCUUGGAGAUUUGCCUAGUAAGGCUACCGGCUAUCCCUGAUGGAAAAAUAAAUUGAACUAGUUUCUAUAUGCAGAACAGAAAAGUAAGAGUUUCGUGACUUUGACAUAAGAGCAUAGAUACUUUGGAGCUAAAAGAUGCCUAUGUUUAAUAUGUGCAACAGGGUUUAUAAUUGUAGUUGUUAUAUUUUCUUAUGCAUAAAUGCAAUUGUUUCCUAGUAA